rnacentral:miRNA from 1 species
UUUGGUUACCCAGCUGUAUGA